rnacentral:rRNA from 1 species
UGGUGUUGAGGCGUGUACCUGGGGCACGUGCGCCUACCCGAAGUCCAACUCCGAUUGUGGCUUGGAUAUUGCCCAGAGCGGGUGAAAGGCCCGUACGGGUAGGCUGUUGAUCGCGAGCACGGCCCUCAGAUGUGCAUGCUUUCGAGUCGGAUUGCUUGAGAAUGCAGUCCAAAGUGGGUGGUAAACUCCAUCCAAGGCUAAAUACUGGCACGAGUCCGAUAGUAGACAAGUACCGUGAGGGAAAGUUGAAAAGUACUCUGAAGAGAGAGUAAAUAGUACGUGAAACCGAUUGCAGGGAAGCUGGUGGAGUCAAGCUUCAUGCUUGGAGAAUUCUCGCUCAGAGCUUGUUGGUUUAUGUGAGCUUGAUGCCGGUUUGCUUGGAAAGAGUUGGGCACACCUAGUGUGCUUCAAGUCGGCCCGGGCGUGGUUGAUUGAGCCGGUGUCAUUGCUCUGCUCGGAGUGAUCUAUUCUUCGCGGCAUAAAUCAUGGUCGGUAGCCUUAUGAUGUGUACGUGCCGUCCGACUGUCUAACUGUGCUUUGACGGGCUCAACGGCUUGUCGGGUGCAGGAUGGCAGGUGGUGGUUUCGGGCCUCGGUCCGUAGCCGCUUAAACUGGUUUCGACUGGCUGACAGUCGGAUGGUAUCGUGGCUAUCGUUGAUGUGUGGUAUGCAGCUCGUGGGCUGCGUGCCGCUCAGAACCGUGAUUCUGAGGUAGACUUUCCACCCGACCCGUCUUGAAACACGGACCAAGAAGUUUAACAUGCGCGCAAGUCAAUGGGCUAGUCCUGGCACGAAACCCAAAGGCGUAAUGAAAGUGAAUGGCUGUGUAAGCAGUCUCAGGUGUGAUCCCGGCUUGCCCUAACCAGGCGGCUGGGCGCAGCACCGGCC